rnacentral:rRNA from 1 species
GACGAACGCUGGCGGCGUGCUUAACACAUGCAAGUCGAACGGAAAGGCCCUGCUUUUGUGGGAUGCUCGAGUGGCGAACGGGUGAGUAACACGUGAGUAACCUGCCCUUGACUUUGGGAUAACUUCAGGAAACUGGGGCUAAUACCGGGUAGGAGCUCCUGCUGCAUGGUGGGGGUUGGAAAGUUUCGGCGGUUGGGGAUGGACUCGCGGCUUAUCAGCUUGUUGGUGGGGUAGGGGCUUACCAAGGCUUUGACGGGUAGCCGGCCUGAGAGGGUGACCGGCCACAUUGGGACUGAGAUACGGCCCGGACUCCUACGGGAGGCAGCAGGGGGGAAGAUUGAACAAUGGGCGGAAGCCUGAUGCAGCAACGCCGGGUGCGGGAUGACGGCCUUCGGGUGGUAAACCGCUUUCGCCUGUGACGAAGCGUGAGUGACGGUAAUGGGAAAAGAAGCACCGGCUAACUACGUG